CAGAGUCUAUUUCUGCCAGAGUCUCUGUUCCCUGGUGGCCAGGCUGGCAUCUAGGUAGUGGCAAGCCCAAAUGUACUCAGAGUCCGGAACCUGUACUUAGUUGUGGAGUAAAAGCAGUUCAGAGGGUGAGUGGUCCUAGGACUGAGCCUGCUUUGUGGGGCUUCCUGAGUGUUUGUCAACACUAGCCAGCAGUCCUAUGAACCUGGACCUCCAGACUGGAAAACCAAGACAGGUUUUUCUAGUCUAGGGCCUAGCAGGAACAUCUCUUCCCAACUCCCUAAAGUCUGGAGCAGGGAUGUAAAUCCAGAGUACACGUGGGCUGGCUUCUACAGACUUAGGCAGACUGGUUGCUACAAGAAGAGGUAGGCACCCGCUUCCUUGGUUCUUCAGUUUCUGAAGGAACUGACCAGAUUCAGUGUAGUCACUACUCUGUCGUCUCUGUCCUCCUCGAGAUAGACCUUGCUGCUACUCUGGCAGGAACCAGGCAGAACAGAGGGAGAAUAGCUAUUUGGCAGAGACUGUUUCCUACAUGGUGUCUUCCUGCUGUUUACAAGGGUGGGCAGAUGGCAAGUCAGGACACCUGAGAGGGGCCUGCACAUUUACCUGCCUGUUUUGUCAAGAGGCUGGCAGGAUGUGCCCAUAGAUGGGUGCCUGCAUGGUAGUAGCUUUUUUUUUUUUUUUUAAAUCUAUGCCUUUUGACAUGUUCCCUUCCAUGGAAAGUAGGUGAUUCAGUUGAAGGUGAAAUGCCUAGAUUAAGCCUGCUCAGACACUGACUAUAAAAAGAGCUGCAGUGCUGUUCUUCUCAACAAGUCCCAGAAGAGUCCAGGAGGCGGAAGUCUCUUAUGUGGUCCCAGUUAACAUGCAGUUUGUGCUUAAGAGAGAUCUUGUUCCUAGCCCCUGUCCACACAGCUUGGUCCCGUUCUUGUAGCCCCAUGUGAGAAGGUUGGCUGCAGUGAGAAUUAACAGCCAUUCCUCAGCAGGGUUCCAGCAUGAGUUAGGUCGCUCUGUGAAAUCGGGUGGGCCAAUGGUCACUCAGGGCACGGGUCUCUCAUGGUUCUGAGUUGCUGGCUUUGUUCAGCUCUGCCAGGAAGGUCAGGCUGUGUCAUAAUUGUUAUUAAACAGAGAAAACAGCCGACCGCUUGGCCUCCAUGGACUAUUGUUCUUUGAGUUGUCCUGACAUAGCCUUGGGGAAUUGGGGAGGCAGCCAAGGGCCUGUAGUGUCCUUGCUUCUCGGUUCCUGGUCCCCAGCACCUGCUCUGUGUUCUGAUCUCAGUGUGGAUGGCUUUGUUUUCAGGGGGCCUGACUGCUGAGAAGUGUGAUUUGAACAGUCUGCCUUUGGUGUGCUUCCUGUCUCCCAGAAACAGCUGAAGCGACUGUCCUGGUGCUAAGUGAGGGUUACCUGCUACUGCGGCCAGCUGUGAAGGCAAACUAAGAAACAGCAUAUUCUGUCACAUAGACUUUGUAGAGAGGGUAUUUCCUGUGUGGCCCCGGCUGGCCUCCCACCUGAAUGGUCUGCUUACUGUGACCAAGCUGGCCUCAGACUUGGGUGCUCUCCCUGCCUCUACCUCCCAAGCACUGAGUUACAGGCAUGGGCCACACCUGCUGGAGUGUAAGAAUCAUUCACCCUGGCAAACAUUUGAACAGAAAGAUGGCCUUUGCUUUUGGUGUGGGCUGUGUGUGUUGUGAGAGGUGCGAGGAUGACCUCUUCAGGCUGAGUAUCCGGGCCUCCUAAGGUCCCCCAUGGGGAUGCUGCUAUUUCCAAGAUGCAAAUUGCACAUUUCGUAGAUUUUUGUAUCUGCAAAUUUGGAUAAGGGAUGGGAUGAGGGACAAAACUGCUUGUGUAGUUUAAAUGGGCCUCAAGUGGUACUUCCAAUCUUUUAACUGUUCCUAAAUAAAAACGUAGACACUUCUU
rnacentral:lncRNA from 1 species